ACGGUUCUCGUUCGAUCACCGAAGUAAAGCAUCAUUGGGCGCGGUCAGUACUUGGGUGGGUGACCACCUGGGAACACCGUGUGCCGUU